CUUUAUUACAUUGAUCUCGCGCCAGGAGAUGCAACGAUUAGUCACACUCGCAACACUGCCAACAUUUUAACAAUAGUUACGGCUAAAAUGAAGAAAAAUGUCAACUGCAGCUGUACUGAAGAAGCGUAGACUACAAACCCAUGAGGAAAACUGCCGGUGAUGGGAAACCAUAUUGGCACUGAGCACCGCAACGUAGCAAAAGUUGUUACAAAAGUGGUUUAUAAAAUUCGAAGCAAAAGCACUUAAAACAAGAAGAACAUGUGAGGAAAACCGAAUGAAGCUUUAAAACGCACGGAAGUAACAACCUAUCGAUUCUAAUUAUAUAUAUACAAGUAUAUUUGUCACUGCGUUUAAACAAUUAAUACAACAGGAAACUUCACGAAAUCACUGGAAAAAGUUAACUUAACAUGUUCACCCAUCUUCGCGUGAUUAACAUGGACAAAGAGGUUGUUUGGUUUAAGAUAAGGCGCUCGGAUAGAUUGGAUCGCUUGAAGCGCGCUUAUUGCGACCAUUUCGACUUAAACCAGGACAAGAUGUACUUCACUUUCCAAGGCCAGGUUAUACAAGAUAGUGAUACUCCGCGGUCCACCAAAAUGGUCUACG